CGGGAUCACAACUGGCUUCUCAACGGGAUGAUUGAGGGUUUCUUCCACUGUUUUUUCACCUGAGCCCUUGCUUGGCUCAGUAUCCAUGGUUGCAGUUUCCUCUUUGCUAGAUGCCGACUUCUCCUCUGGAACAGCAAACUAACAAGCUGUGGACACUAAUGACUUGUAUGAGAAAUUGGUGGAGAGCUGCACAAUCAUAUCCAUGAUUAAGAUCCUCUUUAAUCACAGCAGAUAACAUGAAUUGCAGUCGUUCAAGCUGUGCCGGGUCAGCCCUGUUGCCCUGGAGCUGCAUAAGGGUGGCUAUCUGCAUCUAAACCAGAAAACAAUAUUGUGAGAAAACUCGAAAAAUGUAAAUGUAGAAAAACA